GAGUUUGAUCUUGGCUCAGGACGAACGCUGGCGGCGUGCUUAACACAUGCAAGUCACGGGGGCUCGCAAGAGCAACCGGCGAACGGGUGCGUAGCACGUGAGCAACCUACCGAUUUGCGGGGGAUAGCUGCCCUAACGGGCAGGUAAUACCGCAUACGCUCUUUUGGUCACCUGACCGGGAGAGGAAACCUCCGGGGCAAAUUGAGGGGCUCGCGGCCUAUCAGCUAGUUGGCGAGGUAACGGCUCACCAAGGCGACGACGGGUAGCUGGUCUGAGAGGAUGGCCAGCCACAUUGGGACUGAGAAACGGCCCAGACUCCUACGGGAGGCAGCAGUGGGGAAUCUUGCGCAAUGGGCGAAAGCCUGACGCAGCGACGCCGCGUGGGGGAUGAAGGUUUUCGGAUCGUAAACCCCUGUUGCCCGGGACGAACUUCUCCAUUCGUGGAGAUUGACGGUACCGGGUGAGGAAGCACCGGCUAACUCUGUGCCAGCCGCCGCCGUAAU
rnacentral:rRNA from 1 species